UCAGGUAAUUAUACAGAAUGAAAAAUAUGCCCACUGAAGCUAAGCAGGGUUGAGCCUGGUCAGAACCUGGAUGGGAGACCUCCUGGGAAAACUAGGUUGCUGCUGGAA
rnacentral:rRNA from 1 species